CCUACGGGGCGCAGCAGUGAGGAAUAUUGGUCAAUGGGCGGGAGCCUGAACCAGCCAAGCCGCGUGAAGGAAGAAGGCGCCAAGCGUCGUAAACUUCUUUUGUCGGGGAACAAAGGGCGCCACGUGUGGCGUUGUGAGUGUACCCGAAGAAAAAGCAUCGGCUAACUACGUGCCAGCAGCCGCGGUAAUACGUAGGGGGCAAGCGUUAUCCGGAUUUACUGGGUGUAAAGGGAGCGUAGACGGCCAGACAAGUCUGAAGUGAAAAUCCAGCGCUUAACGUUGGAAGUGCUUUGGAAACUGCCGGG
rnacentral:rRNA from 1 species